GAUGAACGCUGGCGGCGUGCCUAAUACAUGCAAGUAGAACGCUGAAGGAAGGAGCUUGCUCUUUCCGGAUGAGUUGCGAACGGGUGAGUAACGCGUAGGUAACCUGCCUGGUAGCGGGGGAUAACUAUUGGAAACGAUAGCUAAUACCGCAUAACAGUAGAUGUUGCAUGAUAUCUACUUAAAAGGUGCAAUUGCACCACUACCAGAUGGACCUGCGUUGUAUUAGCUAGUUGGUGAGGUAACGGCUCACCAAGGCGACGAUACAUAGCCGACCUGAGAGGGUGAUCGGCCACACUGGGACUGAGACACGGCCCAGACUCCUACGGGAGGCAGCAGUAGGGAAUCUUCGGCAAUGGACGGAAGUCUGACCGAGCAACGCCGCGUGAGUGAAGAAGGUUUUCGGAUCGUAAAGCUCUGUUGUAAGAGAAGGACGAGUGUGAGAGUGGAAAGUUCACACUGUGACGGUAUCUUACCAGAAAGGGACGGCUAACUACGUG
rnacentral:rRNA from 1 species